AUUGAACGCUGGCGGGAGGCCUAACACAUGCAAGUCGAGCGAGCGGCGGACGGGUGAGUAAUGCCUGGGAAUUGCCCAGUCGAGGGGGAUAACAGGUGGAAACGACUGCUAAUACCGCAUACGAUUGGAUUGCCCAGGUGGGAUUAGCUAGUUGGUGAGGUAAUGGCUCACCAAGGCGUCGAUCCCUAGCUGGUUUGAGAGGUUGAUCAGCCAGACUGUAACUGCGACACGGUCCAGACUCCGACGGGAGGGAGCAGUGGGGAAUCUUGCACCAUGGGGGAAACCCUGAUGCAGCCCUGCCGCGGUUGUGAAGAAGGCCUUCGGGUUGUAAACCGCUUUCAGCGAGGAGGCGUUCCUCGCGGAAGAAGCACCGGCUAACUCUGUGCCAGCAGCCGCGGUAAUUC
rnacentral:rRNA from 1 species